UACGUAGGGCGCAAGCGUUAUCCGGAAUUAUUGGGCGUAAAGAGCUCGUAGGCGGUUUGUCGCGUCUGCCGUGAAAGUCCGGGGCUCAACUCCGGAUCUGCGGUGGGUACGGGCAGACUAGAGUGCAGUAGGGGGAGACUGGAAUUCCUGGUGUAGCGGUGAAAUGCGCAGAUAUCAGGAGGAACACCGAUGCGAAGGCAGGUCUCUGGGCUGUAACUGACGCUGAGGAGCGAAAGCAUGGGGGAGCGAACAGG
rnacentral:rRNA from 1 species